GACCAACGCUGGCGGCGUGCUUAACACAUGCAAGUCGAACGGAAAGGCCCUUCGGGGUCCUCGAGUGGCGAACGGGUGAGUAACACGUGGGUGAUCUGCCCUGCACUUUGGGAUAAGCCUGGGAAACUGGGUCUAAUACCGAAUAUGAUCAUCGGCUUCAUGGUCGGUGGUGGAAAGCUUUUGCGGUGUGGGAUGGGCCCGCGGCCUAUCAGCUUGUUGGUGGGGUAAUGGCCUACCAAGGCGACGACGGGUAGCCGGCCUGAGAGGGUGUCCGGCCACACUGGGACUGAGAUACGGCCCAGACUCCUACGGGAGGCAGCAGUGGGGAAUAUUGCACAAUGGGCGCAAGCCUGAUGCAGCGACGCCGCGUGAGGGAUGACGGCCUUCGGGUUGUAAACCUCUUUCAGCACAGACGAAGCGCAAGUGACGGUAUGUGCAGAAGAAGGACCGGCCAACUACGUG
rnacentral:rRNA from 1 species